rnacentral:lncRNA from 1 species
GGCAUAAAUAAUGAAUUUAGGUGACUAAAUCAUGAUAAAAGCAGUACGAAGGAUAAUUAUUGGAUAUUUAUGUAAUAAAAAAAUGAGAAAUAAAUUAAUUUGGAGCCUUUAAAACUAUAAAAAAAUAUAAAAAAUGUUUAUGCAUGAUUAUAACUGCAUAUGUACUAUUUUAAAAGUAUAUAUAGGUAUUAAAAAUAUGUGAGGGAAAAUUGGGUAUCAAUAGGCAUGGCUUCGGCCUCGACCUCUACCCCUCGUAGAAACUGCCACUGGGGGCUCUAUCUGUUGCUCGGCUGAAGAUAUAGUGCAUGUUCUCUCCAUCUGCAAGAGAAUAGAAUAGAAGGAUUCAAUCAGCAAUGAUAGAAUAAAAAUCACUCGACAGAGAAGAAUAGAAGUGAAAUUAUUCCUAACUUCAUAGCCUCUAGAAGAUAAGUAUAGACUUAUCCAUACUGAUCCUCUAGACUCUACUAAGCUUUCUCGUGACUCAUGAGACCUAUGUAACCUAGUGCUCAGAUACCAACUUAUCAUAAUCCGAAAUUCCCAUCGUCGGGACCGUGAUGGCGUCGAACAUUUCACUUGUUAGGCAAGCCAACGUUAGAACAAUUUACUUCUUUUAACAGUUUAAAUGAUAACAUUAAUAAAGAAAUGAAAUAACUGAAAUAUUCUAAGUGUAAAUGCGGAAGCUAAACAAGACAAACAUUUAUUACAAAUCUCUGAACCUGGUGUCACAAAUGCACGAGCUUCUAGAGUAAUACAUAUAAGGGUUUAAAAUAAAUACAAAGUUGUUUGAAUCGAAAUAUACAUCUAAAUAGAAAGACUCCAGGAGCUGUGAGCACUGAACAGUCGUACCUCAAGUCUCCAAAAUUGUCCAAUCCGAGCAUGCUAAUAACCGCCGCUGGGACCGACUCCAAAAUCUGCACAGUGUGCAGAGUGCAGUAUCAGUACAACCGACCUUAUGUGUCACACCUCCUUUCUACCCGAAAAGGGGUAUAAGGGAGUUUUUUUCAAUUUAAGUGACAUUAUUUGAAAUGGGAUUAUUUUAUUUAUUUAGAGUCGCCACUUGGAAUAUUUAUUAUGGUGUCCCAAGUCACUGAUUUAUUUUAAAAAUUCCAAAUCGAGGAAAUUUUACUUCAUUUAAAAAGUCUGCGAAACCAUAAAAACUAGGUAAGGAAUUGUGUUAACCCGGGAGAGGGUAUUAGGCAUUCUUGGGUUCCGUGAUUCUAGCAUGGUCGCUUAACUAUUAAUAAUUGGCCUAAUUAUAUGAUUUAUUACAUGUUUUACACCUUUUGUGCAUUUUUAACUUUAUAACCGCUUUUAAUUAUUUUAAACCACUUUUAGGAUUUAUGGAAUUAUUUCUUGAACAAGUUACGAUUGUCGUAGACUUGCCAUUUUGGAACACGUUGCAAACCAUGCUACAUGAAAUGCACCCGCGAUUUGCGAUAUGUUUAUUUUAUUAUUGUUCAAAGUUGUGGUCGGGUCACAUGAAAUGCACACCCGAAUGGGGUUUAUGUAUCAUGACUAUGCCACGGAAACUGUACCCAUAAUCACGAUGAUUUAUUAUUAAUCGCGCCUAAAGCCAGCUUCGAUGUUUAUAAGUUUAAAUAUUUUCCUAAAUUUAAGGUCAAGUGCAAAGGCCCAGAAAUUAUGGAAUGAUUUUGUUCUAGAGUGGAAAUGAAAUUUUUAUUUAUGAGCUUCGCAGCAUUCAGGAUUCAUUUGAAGCCUAUUAAUACAAUGGAUGAAAGCGCAGACUUGUUAAUCAAAACAUGCUCUACUUGGAAUUGUUCAGCAAUGCACCAAUUAUUGAAUGACUUAGCGAAAUGAUAAGUUAUAAGCAAUUAGCAGCCCACAAAAGACCUCUGACAGGUCCUGACAAAUUCUGAUUGUUGGGCCACAUGUGCAAAACAUGCCCAUUACAUAUUGUUACUAUCCAAAUGAAAACUAUAGGUCAUUGAAUAACCUAAAUCCCCAAUCAAACUAAUAAUGCAUCUGAAGUAGAAUUCAUAAAUACAUGCUUUAUCCAUAAAUCCAAUAAACAAACCAUCAUUCUUAUGGAUACAACAUUAACAGAUUACCUCUACUUGUAUUAGUUAUACCCACUUCAUUGAAACACUUAAUUCUCACACCUUUAGAUAGUGAUACAAAUCAGAUUGACAUAGAGCAUAUAUCACAUUUUAUGGAUAACAAAGUCCAAUUGAUUCACAAAUUCAAUGAUUAACAUUUCAAUCAUUCUGAAAUUGAGUUGAAAUAGCAGCUCAAAGAAAAAACAAACAUACCUAAUUAACGAGAUGCCAUAGAAGAGAGGACGGCAGACAAACAGCUUCGGCAACAAACAACAUCAGUUCCCAAACUUCAAAUGUUUAGCAAAUCAAUUCAUCUCCCAAACUCUUUCCAAAUUUCAUUUUCCCUUUUCUUUUCAGAACGUUUUAUUCUCCAAAUCUCUCUUAUUUUAUUUUAUUUUUAUUUCUGAAACUUCGUUUUGUUUAGCCUCCAGUGAGUGAGAUGGAACAAAUUUUUUAGACUAUGAGGGAGCAUGUGUGAGAGAAAGAUGAGAGAAAAGAAAAGGAGGCGGAUUAGGGUUGGAUAUAAAGGGAAGUCCGAUUCUCAAUUAGAAAAGGGGAAAUUAGAACGCCGAAGAUGAGAGAAUGAGAGAGUCGUUCUUGUUUUUGCUUGCUUCUCCUUGAAGAUUAUAGAAGGUCAGAAAAUAAGAGUGAAGAAGAAGAAGAAAGGGAGGUAUUGUGGUGCUAAGGUUUUUAGAGAUUUGGGGGAGGGUCGUUCGUUUUUUCAAAGGGGAGGGUCUGUUCUUGGUGAUGGUGAAAAUGGAGAAAAAGAAGGAAUCCCCAGAAGGGUCGUUUGUAGUUUUAGAGAGAGAGGGAUUAGGUCUGAUCUUUUAGGUCUCUCCUCUUUAAUGUGAGGGAUCUCCC